UACGAAGGGGGCUAGCGUUGUUCGGAAUCACUGGGCGUAAAGGGCGCGUAGGCGGCUGUGCAAGUCGGGGGUGAAAUCCCGUGGCUCAACCACGGAAUGGCCUUCGAUACUGGACGGCUCGAGACCGGAAGAGGUGAGUGGAACUGCGAGUGUAGAGGUGAAAUUCGUAGAUAUUCGCAAGAACACCAGUGGCGAAGGCGGCUCACUGGUCCGGUUCUGACGCUGAGGCGCGAAAGCGUGGGGAGCAAACAGG
rnacentral:rRNA from 1 species